GGAAGUUGGUGCCGAAUUUUAGAAAGCUACCUCUCUAGAGUCUGAAACAGCAACCCAAUUCAUAACCUCCAACCCACACAGGGGCCCCAGCGUUAAAAAAAUCACUCCUUGCCAGCAGGUGAGAACAAACAGGGACGGGCUCAAGGAGGAAAGCAGAGUAGACAGGCCCCUAUCCACUGCACAAGCCAUACUCCCACACACAUUCAGGUAGAUUCUCAGGGCACAUAACAGCAUCCUAAGGUGCAAAGGCCGUCCCAUUCUGUGGUCCACAGGGUGGAUUCAGUGAGAGAAGAGACACAGGCAUACCCACAAAGCAGGCCUAAUGCAGGGAUCCCAUGUUGCAGAUCGUGCUGCUGAUUUAAACUCUUCCACCUACUUGGCGUUCCUCUGCUUCUCAGAUCCUGGGACCAUCCUCGCAAACAGCCACAGCACAUCCACGGCAUGUAAGGGAGAGUGCCUGUUUGGCUAAGCCUCCUGGACGUAUCCCUAGGCAACUGUACAGGUCACUGUGACGUAAGCGCCGGACUGGAAAGACAUGCAUGCUCAGUUGCAAAUCCGGGAGACUGGGCUGUAUGAACAGGAGCAGUGCAACUGGCAACCUCCUGCAGCCUUCCCCUUAGGAUCUGAUCUUUCAGACAUCUGGGUCACUUUUGCCACCACUGUGGUCGCCAUGCUUCAUGGUAUGAGGUGGGCCCAGUAUAUUCCUUUGUGGAGCUGAUUGUAGAGUGGAUCUUGGGGGAAGUGGGUUAGAUUGCAUCCAGGAUGAAAUCGGGUAACAGAAAUGAGGACAGUGAGGUACAUGAAGCCAGUUGAUGAAAGUGUCGAAUAAAAUCUUAUAUAAGAUAGGUCCUCAGCAGGCCUCUAUCCUGGAAGCAAACCCCAUACUGAUAAGCACCUUCGGGGAAAUGUAGACAUGGACAUUUUAAGAAUACAAAGUAUAGCAAUUCCCUCAAGGAAUUGGUGUUCCAGGCGGGAGGAUGGAGCUAGCGUGUUUCAGAAAUAUAUAGGCUAUUCCAAGAGUGAUAAUUCACAACAAGGCAUGAUUCUAGAAGCCCUGGGGACUCCAGCAAGGAUUGGGACAUCCAAAAUUCUACCUGUGGGGACAAGAGGAACUGUACUGGAGGCUGAAUUACUUUUUGCAGAGAAGACAAAAGGGACCUCUCAAAGGCACCCCACAACUUUGACCACUACCCUCCUUCCACUUACCCCCAGUUCCAUUGUCUUGGUGAAAGAAGAUUCAAUGCUGCAAAGCAGUCACAAAAAAUAGCAAAACAGAAUCUGAUAUCACUUAAGAAUGGAAAGGAAAAUGCUGAUGAAAUACAAUGUUUACUUCAAUAUGAAGGCCAUUCACGGGUAUGUCUCACCCUUUGUGAACCGUACAACCUUCUGAUUGGUCACUGAGAAUAAGAGCUACCUCAUGUGCAGAAGCCAUGGAAGCCCAAGGCUGCAUUGUAAUUACACCUCAAGUUAUUAACAUAUAUGUGUGAUACCAACGUGGUGGUGCACACCUGUAAUCCCAGCGACUCAGGAGGCUGAGGCAGGAGGAUUGCAAGUUCAAAGACAGCCUCAGCAACAUAGAGAGGGCCUAAGGAACUCAGUCUCUAAAUAAAAUACAAAAUAGGGCUGGGGAUGUGGCUCAGUGGUUGAGUGUCCCUGAGUUCAAUCCCUGGUACAAAAAAAAGAAAGAAAGAAAGGAAUGAAGGUAGGAAAAGGAAAGGAAAGAAAGGAAGAAAUAAAUAUGUGUGGAAAAGGAAACACUCAUGGAAGGGAUUCCCAGAAAUAUGUCCUUUAACUAAGAAAUGCUUUUUAUUCGUAAGAUGACAUAGAAAACAAGUCAAGGAUACGAAAGACAAGGUCGAGGAAUAGUAAAGGCUGGAGGCUGCUCAGGAGAAAUUACUCCCAAUUUCCAGGUAGAUCCUGGAUAUUGGUGCAAAAUGGGAGAAUUGACAUUAAUAGCCAUUGAUUUAGUUCAUGAGGCUGUGCUCAAGGUGAGCUCCUCUACUCCCUCACUGUGCUCUACUUAGAUAUUAUACGGGGAACAGGAAAAUGAUGUUAUAAGGACCUUAUUUGUGUACUAUUUGCACCUCUUCUUUAAGUCUAAAUGGGUUCCCCAUGAGGUUUCUGUUGUUGUGUGUAGGGGGUAGGGGUCUCACCUUUUUUUCUGGUAUUUUUAUUCAUGCAUUAUAAUUAAACAUAAUGGUGGGGUUGUUACAUAUUCAUAUAUGCACACGAUACAACAAUGUAACUUGCCGAUAUCAUUUCCCAGUAUUUCCCCUUUUCUCUUCCCUUGCAUUGGUCCCAUUCCUCUUCUCUACUGAUUUCUUUAUGAUUUUCAUGAGAUUUCCCCCCGCCAGCUUUAUUUUCCGUUUUCCUCUCUAGCUUCCACAUAUAAGGGAAAACAUUUGACCUCUACUUUGAGUUUGCCUCAUUUCACAUAAUGUUCUCAAGUUCCACCAAUUCUCCUGCAAAUGACAAUUUCAUUCUUCAUUGUGGUGAAUAAAACUUUGUGGUGUGUGUGUGUGUAUAAUUCUCUUUAUCCGCUUGUCUACUGAUGGGUUCCAUAAUUAAGAUAUUGUAGAUUGUGCUGGUAUAAACAU
rnacentral:lncRNA from 1 species